rnacentral:lncRNA from 1 species
GUGGGGUUGAGAUCUCUAUUCCUCACAAGCACCUUAUGGAUAGCACAACAAGUAUUCAUGAGUUUAAGAGUAGGUAACUCUUUACCAAUUAUACUUUUAUAAUUCUUAACAUCUUUCAUUCUAGCCUCUAGAUCACAUAUAGUUUUGUGGAUAGCACAACAAACUAUAGUGUUCUAGUUAAGUUGACCCUUCAAUCCCAUAUAGUCAUACUUAAACAAUACUAUCCUUAUGGAUAGCACAAUAAAGCAAUACUAUUCAAAUAUGUCAUAAGCAUCAAUAUGUACUUGAUCAACAUCAUGUCAAUUUCUAUAGUAAGCCUUGUGGAUAGCACAACAAGCUCACUAAGAUCUUGACAUACUCUAUCAACCAAGUUUGAAGGAAGGCCCUUGUAGUAUCUACAUCACUAAUCAAUCUAAAUCUAAAAUUUAAAAAGAUCAAAUUGGCCAGGUAAGUAGGUAGGAGGCUCCUCGUAGCUUUUCUAGAUACCAAUAGAGUUGGCCAGGCUAGCAUACGGACCUAAUUAGAAAAUCAUCUUUCAUACUUUUUUUGACACCAAUUGAUCUUAAGAAUUUGACUUUUGAUUUAAAAGUGAAUUCCAAUAUUACAACUUAAUAUAAUUUUACGAGGAAUUUUAAACUGAUCUCGAAAC